GGUUAAGCGACUAAGCGUACACGGUGGAUGCCCUGGCAGUCAGAGGCGAUGAAGGACGUGCUAAUCUGCGAUAAGCGUCGGUAAGGUGAUAUGAACCGUUAUAACCGGCGAUUUCCGAAUGGGGAAACCCAGUGUGUUUCGACACACUAUCAUUAACUGAAUCCAUAGGUUAAUGAGGCGAACCGGGGGAACUGAAACAUCUAAGUACCCCGAGGAAAAGAAAUCAACCGAGAUUCCCCCAGUAGCGGCGAGCGAACGGGGAGCAGCCCAGAGCCUGAAUCAGUGUGUGUGUUAGUGGAAGCGUCUGGAAAGGCGCGCGAUACAGGGUGACAGCCCCGUACACAAAAAUGCACAUGCUGUGAGCUCGAUGAGUAGGGCGGGACACGUGGUAUCCUGUCUGAAUAUGGGGGGACCAUCCUCCAAGGCUAAAUACUCCUGACUGACCGAUAGUGAACCAGUACCGUGAGGGAAAGGCGAAAAGAACCCCGGCGAGGGGAGUGAAAAAGAACCUGAAACCGUGUACGUACAAGCAGUGGGAGCACGCUUAGGCGUGUGACUGCGUACCUUUUGUAUAAUGGGUCAGCGACUUAUAUUCUGUAGCAAGGUUAACCGAAUAGGGGAGCCGAAGGGAAACCGAGUCUUAACUGGGCGUUAAGUUGCAGGGUAUAGACCCGAAACCCGGUGAUCUAGCCAUGGGCAGGUUGAAGGUUGGGUAACACUAACUGGAGGACCGAACCGACUAAUGUUGAAAAAUUAGCGGAUGACUUGUGGCUGGGGGUGAAAGGCCAAUCAAACCGGGAGAUAGCUGGUUCUCCCCGAAAGCUAUUUAGGUAGCGCCUCGUGAAUUCAUCUCCGGGGGUAGAGCACUGUUUCGGCAAGGGGGUCAUCCCGACUUACCAACCCGAUGCAAACUGCGAAUACCGGAGAAUGUUAUCACGGGAGACACACGGCGGGUGCUAACGUCCGUCGUGAAGAGGGAAACAACCCAGACCGCCAGCUAAGGUCCCAAAGUCAUGGUUAAGUGGGAAACGAUGUGGGAAGGCCCAGACAGCCAGGAUGUUGGCUUAGAAGCAGCCAUCAUUUAAAGAAAGCGUAAUAGCUCACUGGUCGAGUCGGCCUGCGCGGAAGAUGUAACGGGGCUAAACCAUGCACCGAAGCUGCGGCAGCGACGCUGAUGCGUUGUUGGGUAGGGGAGCGUUCUGUAAGCCUGCGAAGGUGUGCUGUGAGGCAUGCUGGAGGUAUCAGAAGUGCGAAUGCUGACAUAAGUAACGAUAAAGCGGGUGAAAAGCCCGCUCGCCGGAAGACCAAGGGUUCCUGUCCAACGUUAAUCGGGGCAGGGUGAGUCGACCCCUAAGGCGAGGCCGAAAGGCGUAGUCGAUGGGAAACAGGUUAAUAUUCCUGUACUUGGUGUUACUGCGAAGGGGGGACGGAGAAGGCUAUGUUGGCCGGGCGACGGUUGUCCCGGUUUAAGCGUGUAGGCUGGUUUUCCAGGCAAAUCCGGAAAAUCAAGGCUGAGGCGUGAUGACGAGGCACUACGGUGCUGAAGCAACAAAUGCCCUGCUUCCAGGAAAAGCCUCUAAGCAUCAGGUAACAUCAAAUCGUACCCCAAACCGACACAGGUGGUCAGGUAGAGAAUACCAAGGCGCUUGAGAGAACUCGGGUGAAGGAACUAGGCAAAAUGGUGCCGUAACUUCGGGAGAAGGCACGCUGAUAUGUAGGUGAGGUCCCUCGCGGAUGGAGCUGAAAUCAGUCGAAGAUACCAGCUGGCUGCAACUGUUUAUUAAAAACACAGCACUGUGCAAACACGAAAGUGGACGUAUACGGUGUGACGCCUGCCCGGUGCCGGAAGGUUAAUUGAUGGGGUCAGCGCAAGCGAAGCUCUUGAUCGAAGCCCCGGUAAACGGCGGCCGUAACUAUAACGGUCCUAAGGUAGCGAAAUUCCUUGUCGGGUAAGUUCCGACCUGCACGAAUGGCGUAAUGAUGGCCAGGCUGUCUCCACCCGAGACUCAGUGAAAUUGAACUCGCUGUGAAGAUGCAGUGUACCCGCGGCAAGACGGAAAGACCCCGUGAACCUUUACUAUAGCUUGACACUGAACAUUGAGCCUUGAUGUGUAGGAUAGGUGGGAGGCUUAGAAGUGUGGACGCCAGUCUGCAUGGAGCCGACCUUGAAAUACCACCCUUUAAUGUUUGAUGUUCUAACGUUGACCCGUAAUCCGGGUUGCGGACAGUGUCUGGUGGGUAGUUUGACUGGGGCGGUCUCCUCCUAAAGAGUAACGGAGGAGCACGAAGGUUGGCUAAUCCUGGUCGGACAUCAGGAGGUUAGUGCAAUGGCAUAAGCCAGCUUGACUGCGAGCGUGACGGCGCGAGCAGGUGCGAAAGCAGGUCAUAGUGAUCCGGUGGUUCUGAAUGGAAGGGCCAUCGCUCAACGGAUAAAAGGUACUCCGGGGAUAACAGGCUGAUACCGCCCAAGAGUUCAUAUCGACGGCGGUGUUUGGCACCUCGAUGUCGGCUCAUCACAUCCUGGGGCUGAAGUAGGUCCCAAGGGUAUGGCUGUUCGCCAUUUAAAGUGGUACGCGAGCUGGGUUUAGAACGUCGUGAGACAGUUCGGUCCCUAUCUGCCGUGGGCGCUGGAGAACUGAGGGGGGCUGCUCCUAGUACGAGAGGACCGGAGUGGACGCAUCACUGGUGUUCGGGUUGUCAUGCCAAUGGCACUGCCCGGUAGCUAAAUGCGGAAGAGAUAAGUGCUGAAAGCAUCUAAGCACGAAACUUGCCCCGAGAUGAGUUCUCCCUGACCCUUUAAGGGUCCUGAAGGAACGUUGAAGACGACGACGUUGAUAGGCCGGGUGUGUAAGCGCAGCGAUGCGUUGAGCUAACCGGUACUAAUGAACCGUGAGGCUUAACCUU
rnacentral:rRNA from 1 species